UUGUGGCCAUCUCAUGUUCAAACACCAGUUUGCAUGCAACACCGAAGUUAAACAACGUCGAGCCUAGUCAGUACCUAGAUAGGUGACCACUUGGGAAUACCAGGUGUUAU